UGCGGCUGGAUCCCCUCCUUUCUAGAGUGGCACUCGCCACCAAGCGCUCACACUUAUCUGCUGUACCGUUCUUUAACAAUCUGGAAGAAGUAAAGUUUUAUUAAGCGUAUGCGAAAGCAUACUCUUAGGGUAGUAAAACUCAUCAUCACAUAGUAGUAAAUGCUUGAGCUUAUAGCCGUCAAGGUUAUAGGGACAAGUGAAUAAGUGCACAUGGCGGAUGCCUUGGCGAUUACAGGCGAUGAAGGACGUAGUAGCUUGCGAUAAGCUGCGGGGAGUGAGCAAACACACUUUGAUCCGCAGAUUUCCGAAUGGAGAAACCCGG
rnacentral:misc_RNA from 1 species